rnacentral:rRNA from 1 species
AUUGAACGCUGGCGGCAGGCCUAACACAUGCAAGUCGAGCGGAUGAAGGGAGCUUGCUCCUGGAUUCAGCGGCGGACGGGUGAGUAAUGCCUAGGAAUCUGCCUGGUAGUGGGGGAUAACGUCCGGAAACGGGCGCUAAUACCGCAUACGUCCUGAGGGAGAAAGUGGGGGAUCUUCGGACCUCACGCUAUCAGAUGAGCCUAGGUCGGAUUAGCUAGUUGGUGGGGUAAAGGCCUACCAAGGCGACGAUCCGUAACUGGUCUGAGAGGAUGAUCAGUCACACUGGAACUGAGACACGGUCCAGACUCCUACGGGAGGCAGCAGUGGGGAAGAUUGGACAGGGGGCGAAAGCCUGAUCCAGCCAUGCCGCGUGUGUGAAGAAGGUCUUCGGAUUGUAAAGCACUUUAAGUUGGGAGGAAGGGCAGUAAGUUAAUACCUUGCUGUUUUGACGUUACCAACAGAAUAAGCACCGGCUAACUUCGU